ACUCUGUUCCAAGAAUUCUACUCUUUUACAGAGCAUCUUUUUGAGUGUCUUGGUUUUAAUUGGAUUUGGAUCUCCACAUCGUUGGUGGAAGAAGGUUAUCAGAAUGGCUUCAAAAUUUGCGACCACAAUUGGCGACGUACGAAGGGACAAGGAAUUAAGGUGAUUGCUGGGAGCCUUGGGGAAUGCCAAAGCCUUGCACAUCAGAGAACACCAAGCGGCCGCUACAAUAAGUGCGGCUACAUAUAGACCAGUGGCAGCUACUUCUGUUCAUGUAUUGAAGCUAAUAGUAAGAUGCUAGCUCUAAACGUGCAGCACUAAACUAUCCACAGUGCUAUAAUUCAGUGGGUGAGCAAUUUGUAGUUACUUUCAAAUGGAAGAAAGAUAAAAAUGAAUGCAGUGUGGAGGAGAAAGCAGCGAAGGAUUCUGUCAUAAUCUUAACUGCAUUGGGAAAAGGGGGGAACAUAUAGCUUAGCAGAGCUAAAUUGUUAACUCUCCCAAAGAAUGAACC